ensembl:ncRNA K07E8.13 ncRNA
UAGGCUUAGGCUUAGGCUUAAGCCUAGGCUUAUGCUUAGGGCUAAGGCUUCGGAUUAAGCCUAGGCUAAGGCUUCGGCUUAAGCCUAGGCUUAUGCUUAGGCUUAGGCGUAGGCUCAG